CUACGGGAGGCAGCAGUGGGGAAUCUUAGACAAUGGGGGCAACCCUGAUCUAGCCAUGCCGCGUGAGUGAUGAAGGCCUUAGGGUUGUAAAGCUCUUUCAGCUGGGAAGAUAAUGACGGUACCAGCAGAAGAAGCCCCGGCUAACUCCGUGCCAGCAGCCGCGGUAAUACGGAGGGGGCUAGCGUUGUUCGGAAUUACUGGGCGUAAAGCGCACGUAGGCGGACCAGAAAGUUGGGGGUGAAAUCCCGGGGCUCAACCUCGGAACUGCCUUCAAAACUAUUGGUCUGGAGUUCGAGAGAGGUGAGUGGAAUUCCGAGUGUAGAGGUGAAAUUCGUAGAUAUUCGCAAGAACACCAGUGGCGAAGGCGGCUCACUGGCCCGAUACUGACGCUGAGGUGCGAAAGCGUGGGGAGCAAACAGGAUUAGAAACCCCAGUAGUCC
rnacentral:rRNA from 1 species